rnacentral:lncRNA from 1 species
AUUUUGGUCCCUAAGAGACCUCAUGAUGCAUAUGGUAUGAAUGUAGAAGCAAAUUCUCUGUGGGGAAAUUUUGCCACAAAAGAGAAGAAAUCAGAGAGACUGAAUAUCCGAGGGAGCAUAAUGCAUUCCAUAAGGAAAACUCGUCGGGGAGACAGAGACUCAUGGGUAGAAAGGGGUUAUGCGUAGGCCAGGCUACAACUUGAAAAUUGCUGGGGGGACUAGAGGAAGUCCAUAAACGAUGUAAAGACUCAGCCGGGGAAUAAAC